GACGAACGCUGGCGGCGUGCUUAACACAUGCAAGUCGAACGGAAAGGCCCUGCUUUUGUUGGGUGCUCGAUUGGCGAACGGGGGAGUAACACGUGAGUAACCUGCCCUUGACUUUGUGAUAACUUCAGGGAACUGGGGCGAAUACCGGAUAGGAUCUACUGCUGCAUGUGGUGGGUUGGAAAGUUUCGGCGGUUGGGGAUGGACUCGCGGCUUAUCAGCUUGUUGGUGGGGUAGUGGCGUACCAAGGCUUUGACGGGUAGCCGGCCUGAGAGGGUGACCGGCCACAUUGGGACUGAGAUACGGCCCAGACUCCUACGGGAGGCAGCAGUGGGGAAUAUUGCACAAUGGGCGGAAGCCUGAUGCAGCAACGCCGCGUGCGGGAUGACGGCCUUCGGGUUGUAAACCGCUUUCGCCUGUGACGAAGCGUGAGUGACGGUAAUGGGUAAAGAAGCACCGGCUAACUACGUG
rnacentral:rRNA from 1 species